rnacentral:rRNA from 1 species
AUUGAACGCUGGCGGCAGGCCUAACACAUGCAAGUCGGACGGUAGCACAGAGGAGCUUGCUCCUCGGGUGACGAGUGGCGGACGGGUGAGUAAUGUCUGGGGAUCUGCCCGAUAGAGGGGGAUAACCACUGGAAACGGUGGCUAAUACCGCAUAACGUCGCAAGACCAAAGAGGGGGACCUUCGGGCCUCUCACUAUCGGAUGAACCCAGAUGGGAUUAGCUAGUAGGCGGGGUAACGGCCCACCUAGGCGACGAUCCCUAGCUGGGCUGGGAGGAUGACCAGCCACACUGGAACUGAGACACGGUCCAGACUCCUACGGGAGGCAGCAGUGGGGAAUAUCGCACAAUGGGCGCAAGCCUGAUGCAGCCAUGCCGCGUGUAUGAAGGAGGCCUUCGGGUUGUAAAGUACUUUCAGCGGGGAGGAAGGCGAUGUGGUUAAUAACCGCGUCGAUUGACGUUACCCGCAGAAGAAGCACCGGCUAACUCCGUGCCAGCAGCCGCAGUAA